GGUGGCUCAGUGGUAGAGUGCUUGCCUUGCAUGCAGGAGGCCUGGGUUCGAUUCCUCAGCACCA
rnacentral:tRNA from 1 species